GGGGAAUUUUGGACAAUGGGCGAAAGCCUGAUCCAGCAAUGCCGCGUGCAGGAUGAAGGCCUUCGGGUUGUAAACUGCUUUUGUACGGAACGAAAAGACUCUGGUUAAUACCUGGGGUUCAUGACGGUACCGUGAGAAUAAGCACCGGCUAACUACGUGCCAGCAGCCGCGGUAAUACGUAGGGUGCAAGCGUUAAUCGGAAUUACUGGGCGUAAAGCGUGCGCAGGCGGUGAUGUAAGACAGAUGUGAAAUCCCCGGGCUCAGCCUGGGAACUGCAUUAGUGGCUGCAUCGCUGGAGUGCGGCAGAGGGGGAUGGAAUUCCGCGUGUAGCAGUGAAAUGCGUAGAUAUGCGGAGGAACACCGAUGGCGAAGGCAAUCCCCUGGGCCUGCACUGACGCUCAUGCACGAAAGCGUGGGGAGCAAAC
rnacentral:rRNA from 1 species